UCCGAAGUUUCCCUCAGGAUAGCUGGAACUUAUGAAAAAGUAGUUUUAUCAGGUAAAAGCGAAUGAUUAGAGGCUUUGGGGAAGAAACUUCCUCGACCUAUUCUCAAACUUUAAAUAGGUAAGAUUUGAAGGAUACUUAAGUGAUCUUUCAAUAUUUUGAAUAUAAAGUUCUUAGUGGGCCAUUUUUGGUAAGCAGAACUGGCGAUGUGGGAUGAACCGAACGUUAAGUUAAAGUGCCAAAUAAUACGCUCAUGAGAUACCAUAAAAGGUGUUGGUUCAUUUUGACAGCAGGACGGUGGCCAUGGAAGUCGGAACCCGCUAAGGAGUGUGUAACAACUCACCUGCCGAAUGAACUAGCCCUGAAAAAUGGAUGGCGCUUAAGCGUAUAACUUAUACUUAACCCUUACUUGAAUCAUUAUAGCGAGUAAG
rnacentral:rRNA from 1 species